UACGGGGGGGGCAAGCGUUGUUCGGAAUUACUGGGCGUAAAGGGCUCGUAGGCGGCCAACUAAGUCAGACGUGAAAUCCCUCGGCUUAACCGGGGAACUGCGUCUGAUACUGGAUGGCUUGAGUUUGGGAGAGGGAUGCGGAAUUCCAGGUGUAGCGGUGAAAUGCGUAGAUAUCUGGAGGAACACCGGUGGCGAAGGCGGCAUCCUGGACCGACACUGACACUGAUGAGCGAAAGCCAGGGGAGCAAACGGG
rnacentral:rRNA from 1 species